rnacentral:rRNA from 1 species
AUUGAACGCUGGCGGCAUGCUUUACACAUGCAAGUCGAACGGUAACAGGGUGCUUGCGCCGCUGACGAGUGGCGAACGGGUGGGUAAUGCGUCGGAACGUGCCGAGUAGUGGGGGAUAACGCAGCGAAAGUUGUGCUAGUACCGCAUACGUACUGAGGUAGAAAGUGGGGGACCUUCGGGCCUCACGCUAUUCGAGCGGCCGACGUCUGAUUAGCUAGUAGGUGAGGUAAAGGCUCACCUAGGCGACGAUCAGUAGCGGGUCUGAGAGGAUGAUCCGCCACACUGGGACUGAGACACGGCCCAGACUCCUACGGGAGGCAGCAGUGGGGAAUUUUGGACAAUGGGCGAAAGCCUGAUCCAGCCAUGCCGCGUGUCUGAAGAAGGCCUUCGGGUUGUAAAGGACUUUUGUCAGGGAGGAAAUCCCUAGUGCUAAUAACACUGGGGGAUGACAGUACCUGAAGAAUAAGCACCGGCUAACUACGUGCCAGCCGCCGCCGUAA